rnacentral:rRNA from 1 species
GACGAACGUUGGCGGCGUGCUUAAUACAUGCAAGUCAACUGAAGCAGUGGUAGCAAUAUCGCUGUGGAGGUGGCGCACGGGUGAGUAACACGUAGGUAAUCUGCCUUCAGGUCUGGCAUAACUCCGGGAAACCGGGGCUAAUAGCAGAUGAUGCAGCGGCUCGACAUCGAGACAGUUGUUAAAGCUAUGGCGCCUGAAGAUGAGCCUGCGUCUGAUUAGCUAGUUGGCGGGUUAACGGCCCACCAAGGCAACGAUCAGUAGCUGGUCUGAGAGGAUGAUCAGCCACACUGGAACUGAGACACGGUCCAGACUCCUACGGGAGGCAGCAGUAAGGAAUAUUGCUCAAUGGGAGAAAUCCUGAAGCAGCAACGCCGCGUGAGGGACGAAGGGCUUUUGCUUGUAAACCUCUGUAGUGAGAGAAAAAAAUCCCAAUCUUUGGGACAUGAUGGUAUCUCAAAAGUAAGCCCCGGCUAACUACGUG